AGAAAGAAGAGUUUCUCCUUGGUCUGAGAGCACCUGAAAGGGUUGUGAGGGACCAGAUACACCUCACCUGGGUGGUCUCUUAAACUAACUAAGGAUUCCUUCUGAUCCCUGUCAAGCAGAUGAACUCAGAUGCCCAGCUUCUCCAGGAAAGAAACAGUCAUUCCCAGUCCUGCCAAGAUCAGGAUGGAGGAAAGUGGAUAUGCAACAGGAUGGUAGUGAGAUAGUGACAUAUUGAGAGAGUUUUGUAGUAGGGGUGGGGGAGAUGUAGGAGUGGAGGAUAGUUCUGUGCUGUGUCCUCCUGAGGGAAAUGGAGGAAUACUUUCCGUCCUCCUCUGAACCACUGACACCAGAGCUUCUAAACUGGAGCUGACAUUAAUUCCUUCACUUCUUGGAUACAUUUGGCCAUAUCUGAAGACCAUUUUGACUAUCAUGCGCGGGAGAUCUCUAACCAGCAUCAGGUGACUAGAGAUGCUCUUUAACCAACCUUUACAACACACAGAAGAACAAAACAAAACAAAUUGCCCAACACCAAAUGUCAUCAGUGCUGAGAAACCUGGUCUAAGAGUGACUGAGGCUUAUGGAUUAUCACCAGCAUCAUGGAGCUACAUCAAACUGGAGUGUUCUCUAAUGUCCAUAACUUUGUAUCUCUAAGUCUCUGAAGACCCAACCCACACAUCACCACAGUGGAUCAGAGGCAGGGAUGGGAACAAAUAAGAGAGAACAAUAAUUGGGCACCUACUAUGUGCCAGAAGUCCCACUAGAGUAGAUACACUACAGUCCUUCACUACUAAAGGACAAAUAUAAAACUGUCCUGGGUCCCCACACACACACACACUCCCCCUUUUCCUUUGCCAUCAACUGGUUAGACAUGCAAGAAGAGAAAUUCAAAAAUUUGGGAAGUCACUCCUAUUAGUUAAUAUAAGAGAAAUUCAACUUCAGCCGUGCAUGAAGGCUUCUGUGGUGUUCACACAAGAAUCCACCUAGGGAGGAAGAUAAUAGGGCUAGGGGAAAUGGGAGUGGCCUCAGGCCCUGACUUUCAUCUGGCAUCCUAUCUGUCAACAAGUCUAACUUGACACCCCGCCCACCAGUCUGGCUGCCAAUCAAAUCCUCCAAUCAGGCUCAGAGGCAAACCUUCUGGGAGUGAAGUCUUAACUAGGAAGGAUUCCUGUUGCUCUUGCUCUCCACAGGCUCUGAUGACCACCUCCUCCACCUGAGCUGAGUAAAGAGAAAUAGAGAGCAAGUGCUCACCCAAACAGGAGCAUAAAGCAAUCGUUCACCGGAGAUGAAAGGCCUCACUUCCUGCCGCCGGUGGACAGGGCUGCAUCUGUUUGUCUGCAGCAACCAGAGGAGCCAGUAUCUCAGCAGAACUGGCUCAGAGCACACCCAGUGGACAAAUCUGACAAAUGUCUUUCACCAGCCUUUGUAGAACUUUGUGCAGUGCUUUCUAGAAACAAGCAGAAGCUGUGUCAAACAUAUAAUCUCCAACUAGUGCUGCCUUCAGGGUCUUUAAGAAGAAACAUGUCCCAGGCAGCCACAGGGGACCAGGCACCAAUGAAGAGGAUUUUGUUAGGAGAACAGAACAAUUGGUCAGAAAUCAGGGGCAGUAAUUCCCAGACCAUGGGACACUCCACCUUCAAACCAAAACCAAUCUAUGAGUAAACUGCCCAAGGACUGUCCUUUCAUUCAGGAUCCAGCCUUGAAUCAAGACUCUAGUAUUGCCCCCACCCCCCAGCACUGCCCAUGUUCUUCACAAAGGACUGUGAGCAUGGCCCCUGUCAUCAGUUUGCUGGGAGCAUUUUCCAGGCUCUACACAGAGCUGGGCAGAGCCAAGUGUCUUCUCCCUCAUUCAUUCACCCUCUAAACCUUUACAUAACUGAAAAUACAUCAAGUAGUGGGGGCUCUAGAAAGAAAAAAAUGACAAAGCCAGGAGACAGAAUAUGGCUAUAGGGAGUCAGGAAUGUUCUUCCUUUGAGUUACAAUUUGAUCAGAACCCCAAUGAAGUGAGACUCGGCCAGACCCACAUCUAAUGAAAGUCAGGGCUAGGGAAAUAACUCAUUGCUAAAGUAUAUGUUUGGCAUGUGACAAGCCCUGGACUUUAUUCUCAGCCCCGUCCAAACAAAAUAAUAAACAAACAAACAAAUAAAUGGUAGUUACAGGGUCGGAGAAGGCCAGGCUGAAUCUGAAGACACACACCUGUAAGCUUUAAUCCCAGCACUCGGGGAGCAGAGGCAGGUGGAUUUCUGUGAAUUUGAAGCCCAUCUACUCGACAUAUUGAGUUUCAAGCCAGCCACAGUUACAAGAUUAGAUCAUCUCAAAAACAACAAAACAAAAUAAAACAAAUAACCCAAAAC
ensembl:processed_transcript Gm12299 predicted gene 12299